rnacentral:lncRNA from 1 species
CAUCACUGCUAAUUACCCAGUGUGUCUGAUAUGCCAGAUGGAUAUUUAAUAAAUGGUCUAAUGAUUGGAUCUGAAAUAACAUAUUCAGGUUCAAGAGAACCAUGGUCCUGGGAGGGAGGUCACACAGUUCUCCAUUCUGCCAUCCAGCACCGUUGCUUUUAGAUGAAGUUUGAUGAGGCUGAAUUAGAUCCUGACAAUUGUAUGGCAUUUUUGUUUAAUUCCAAGGAAAUUUUCUUUCAUGGGCUUACCAUGAUUUCUAUGGAAACUCAUUUUGGGGAAAAUCCUCAGUCUGACUUGUUCCAAGUUGGAUUUACUUACUCUGGCAAAGUUAUGACCUAUUAAAAAGUGCUAAUGGAGACAACUGAGAAGCUAAGUUUCAGGGAACCGUGUUGUCUUAGUCUGCUUUGUGUUACUGUAAGAGAAUACUUGAGACUGGAUGAUUUACACAGAGAGCUGGCAUCUGCUCAGCUGCUGGGUACAGCAUGGCAUUUAGCCUUGGCGUUAUCCCUGAUUGCCUGGCCAGGCCUACAUCAGAGUUAGUGGGGGAGGAGGAGGAGAAGAAGGAGGAGUUGGUAUAGCUGACUGUUGAAGAGCUUAGGAUUUGGAGCCAGAAAGACCUGGGUUCAAAGUUCAAAUUUGCCUCUUACUAUGUGAGCUUCGAGUUCUAAAUAAAUCUUAAUGAUAACAUGAGCUUAUUACAAAGAUUUGAUGAGAUAAUAUACACUAAGGGCUUAGUUCAGUGCGUGGCACAUGACAUGUAAUGGUACCUGUUGUUGCUGGGAGUCUUGAUCUUAGUAUGGGUGGUUUAAAAGAAGAAAGUGAGAGCCAUUUUUUGGACAAGAUAAUAGAGGAAUCCAUGUUAAUGUAACUCACUGCUGAGUUGGCAAUGAGCUCGCUCAUUGGCAGCCAAAUGAAAAAGCCCAUAUGGGAAGAAAUUAAUAAAGCU